GACGGACGCUGGCGGCGUGCUUAACACAUGCAAGUCGAACGGAAAGGCCCCAGCUUGCUGGGGUACUCGAGUGGCGAACGGGUGAGUAACACGUGGGUGAUCUGCCCUGCACUCUGGGAUAAGCCUGGGAAACUGGGUCUAAUACCGGAUAGGACCGUGCUUUAGUGUGUGCGGUGGAAAGUUUUUCGGUGCGGGAUGAGCCCGCGGCCUAUCAGCUUGUUGGUGGGGUAAUGGCCUACCAAGGCGGCGACGGGUAGCCGGCCUGAGAGGGUGUACGGCCACAUUGGGACUGAGACACGGCCCAGACUCCUACGGGAGGCAGCAGUGGGGAAUAUUGCACAAUGGGCGCAAGCCUGAUGCAGCGACGCCGCGUGGGGGAUGACGGCCUUCGGGUUGUAAACCCCUUUCGGCAGGGACGAAGCUUUUGUGACGGUACCUGCAUAAGAAGCACCGGCUAACUACGUG
rnacentral:rRNA from 1 species